GACGAACGCUGGCGGCGUGCUUAACACAUGCAAGUCGAACGGACAGGCCCUGCUUUUGCUCGUUGCUCGAGUGGCGCACGCGUGAGUAACACGUGAGUAUCCUGCCCCUGUCUUUCUGAUAACUUCAGGAAACUCGGGCUCAUACCGCAUAUGAGCUCCUGCUCCAUGUUGGUGGAUGGAGAAUUUCGGCGGUUGGGUCUGUACUCGCGGCUUAUCAGCUGGUUUGUGUGGUAGUGGCUUACCGAGGCUUUGACGGGUAGCCGGCCUGAGCGGCGGACCGGGCACAUGGGGACUGAGAUACGGCGCAGACUCGUAUGGGAGGCAGCAGGGGGGAAUAUGGCACAAUGGGCGGGAGCCUGAUGCAGCAACGCCGGGUGCGGGAUGACGGCCUUCGGGUUGAAAACCGAUUUGGCAGGUGACGAAGCGCGAGUGACGGUAAUGGGUAAAGAAGCAACGGCUAACUACGUG
rnacentral:rRNA from 1 species